rnacentral:rRNA from 1 species
CCUACGGGAGGCAGCAGUGAGGAAUAUUGGUCAAUGGGCGCGAGCCUGAACCAGCCAAGUCGCGUGAGGGAUGAAGGUUCUAUGGAUCGUAUACCUCUUUUAUAAGGGAAUAAAGUGUGGGACGUGUCCUAUUUUGUAUGUACCUUAUGAAUAAGGAUCGGCUAACUCCGUGCCAGCAGCCGCGGUAAUACGGAGGAUCCGAGCGUUAUCCGGAUUUAUUGGGUUUAAAGGGUGCGUAGGCGGCCUUUUAAGUCAGCGGUGAAAGUCUGUGGCUCACCCAUGGAAUUGCCGUUAAAACUGGGGGCUUGAGUAUGUUUGAGGCAGGCGGAAUGCGUGGUGUAGCGGUGAAAUGCUUAGAUAUCACGCAGAACUCCGAGUGCGAAGGCAGCAUACCGGCGCCCAACUGACGCUGAAGCACGAAAGCGUGGGUAUCGAACAGGAUUAGAUACCCGUGUAGGC